GACGAACGCUGGCGGCGUGCCUAACACAUGCAAGUCGAACGGAACUGUUUUGAAAGAUUUCUUCGGAAUGAAUUUGAUUUAGUUUAGUGGCGGACGGGUGAGUAACGCGUGAGUAACCUGCCUUCAAGAGGGGAAUAACAUUCUGAAAAGAAUGCUAAUACCGCAUGACAUAUCGGAACCACAUGGUUUUGAUAUCAAAGAUUUUAUCGCUUGAAGAUGGACUCGCGUCCGAUUAGUUAGUUGGUGAGGUAACGGCUCACCAAGACCGCGAUCGGUAGCCGGACUGGGAGGAUGAACGGCCACGUUGGGACUGAGACACGGCCCAGACUCCGACGGGAGGCAGCAGUGGGUGAUAUUGCGCGAGGGGGGCAACCCUGACGCAGCAACGCCGCGUGAAGGAUGAAGGUUGUCGGAUUGUAAACUUCUUUUAUUAAGGACGAAAAAUGACGGUACUUAAUGAAUAAGCUCCGGCUAACUACGUG
rnacentral:rRNA from 1 species